GUUCCACUUCGGAAGACGGUGCGAUCUCAUUUUGCCCUGUGCGAUUCCUUAGGUAUAACAUCCAAUUGCUCCUGUUGGAAGGGACACUCUGCAUGUAAAUGGCAGAGACACUCUGGUUCACUCAAAUGUAUUGUUCCUGAAAGAAAGGAAGUGGUCUGCAGAGAAGAUACUCAGCUAGAAGAUUCCUCUGUGAGGCUGCUAGUACUUCUCCAGCAGACCAAGCCAGGAGAGCUUUCUCAAAGAUUCUACCAGAUUUUCCAGGGGUUCUCAAAGAUUGUCUGCAAACCAGCUCUGAUAAAUGAUUGCAGCUUCUUGAGUCUAUAGAGAGAGACCUUUAUGCUCUCUCUACUAGGAAAAUGUUGAAGACAAUAUAUAAAUUUCUGAAAAGAUUUGAAUGAUUUGAUUUGGCAAAAUAAAGAAUUGCCAAUCCUACAUAGAGCUCCAUACACCAAUUUUUAAAAAUAAUUUUAUUGCUUCACAAAAUCUGGGAACCACUGGAUAUAUGAAGUAUCUCUUUUAGCUAAAGCAAAGUCAACUCUCACCCUCGAAAAAAGUUCAUUUUUUGAUCUGUUUUUAUUUUUCUGUGGCAAAAAGUGCUUUUGUGAUGCCUCUAUGAAUAAAAGACUCAUUUU
rnacentral:lncRNA from 10 species